CUGGAACCAGCCCACUAUGGACAGAAACCUCUACACACUACUCCGUAACCUCUGUUGAGCCCUGGAAUCCUCACUGAAACAGGAACCCAGGGGCAAUAAACAGCCACUAUCACUCGAUGCCAGCCAUCCCAGAGUGCUGUCAUUCCCCUCUGGUGCCUUCUCCCAUGUCACAUUGUGUGCAGACCUAAACCUUUGUCCAGCUCCAGUCUUCACCUUCACCUUGGAUGUCACCUCCUGGCUUCCAUCAAAGACUCCUCAGCCUUCCAUCUCAGACCCUCGG